AUGCUUUCUGUCACCUGCUCAGUUCUUGUGAUCUUAAUAUUCAGCAGGAGCAAUGGAGACUCAGUGACCCAGACAGGCCCGGUUACUGUCUCAGAGGGGGCACCUGUGAUCUUGAACUGCACUUACCAGACCACUUAUUCAAUUUCUGUCCUUUUAUGGUAUGUCCAAUAUCUCAAUAAAGCUCCUCAACUACUGCUGAAGAGCUCAACAGAAAACCAGAGGACAGAAGGUCAAGGUUUUCAGGCCAAUCAUGUGAAGAGUGACAGCUUUUUCUACCUGAAGAAACCCUCAGCGCAAAUGUCAGACUCGGCUGUGUACUACUGUGCUCUGAUAGACACCAUGAGAGGAGCUGCAGGGGGAGCCGAGCACAAACCCAGAGGGGCACAGGUGCGGCCUGGGUGUGAGCAGCCCUAG